rnacentral:lncRNA from 1 species
AACAUGUGUUAGAAGAUAGAGGUGAUAGUCUAAAGUCGUGAUCGCGAUAAUCUAUUCAUUGCUACAAACGUUUGUAUUGUAAGCUGCAGAUUGCAUUAUGGACAUUGUAGCAUUGAGUGGAAAUUGUGUGCAUCACUUUUAAGAAUCUGCUAGGAUAUAGUAGAUGCCUCAUAUUUGAUGCAUUUGUACCAUGACAAGUUUCUAACUGCUAUGAAUAGACUUCAAAUAAAAGUUUAUAUCCUUUUAGAAUAAAAUACUAGAGAUAUUAGCAAUAAGGUAUAGAAAAAUUCUAUGAGAGCGACAAUGUACUCAAAAAUCAUAAUUGUUUUUGUUUUGUUUAUCAUUAAAAAGAGGAAUUUUAUAAAUAUUAUGAUAUAAGAGAAAUGAAAAAAAGGAGAUGUAUGAGUAGGUGAAAUAGGCUACAACAUGUUAGUGACCAAUCUUCUUGUUCACUUUUUACUGUGAUGAUUGUUUGAUAUCGAAACAUAGUCUUAACCUUCGAGAGAAAUAAAUUUGAAUUAUUAUAAUAACAGAUUCAAGAGUUUUAAAGAAAGUUUAAUUAACUAAACAUAUUGUAAAGGGGGAUUGAAGAUACAUUAGAGCUAACGUUUAGGCCGUUCUAGGUAUUAAGGAGAAGGAACAAGUAUAAGCAAAUGUUUUUACGUUAUAAGUUAAGGUCAGGAUAUAACUCUACUAUAGGUUUUUGUAAGUUGGCUAAGAAUGUUAUUUGACAUUCAACAUGUAUUAGAAGAUUGGGGUGAUAGUCUAAAGUCGUGAUCCCAAUAAUCUAUUCAAUGCUGCAAAUGUGUGUAUUGUAAGCUGCAGAUUACAUUAUGUACAUUGGAGCAUUGAUUGGAAAGUUUGUGCAUCACUUUUAUGAAUCUGCUAGGAUAUUGUAGAUGCCUUAUAUCUGAAGUUGUUUCAUGACAAGUUUCUAAUUACUAUGAAGUGACUUCUAAUAAAAGUUUAUAUCCUUUUAAAAUAAAAUACUAGAGACAUCAGCAAUAUGGUAUAGAAAAAUUCUAUGAUAGCGACAAUUUACUCGAAAAACAUAUUUGUUUUUUGUGUUGUUUGUAAUUAAAAGGAGGAAUUUUAUAUAUAUUAUAAUACAAGAUAAAUGAAAAAAAGGAGAGCCAUGAGUAGGUGAAAUAGGCUAGAACAUGUCAGUGACCAAUCUUCUUGUUCACUUUUUAGCGUAACGAUUGUUUGAUAUCGAAACAUAGUCAUAACCUUUUAGGGAAAUAAAUUUGAAUUAUCAUAAUACAGAAUCGAAGGGUUUUAAAGAAAGAUUAAUUAGCUAAACAUUAUGUAAAUGUAGAUUGAAGAUACAAGAAGAAUACACACAUAAAAUAAGUGAUAGUUAUAAGAUGGUAGGUAUGAUUAAGGGGUUAGUUUAGAUAGUUAUUGUUUAUUAAAAGUUUAGUUGUUAUUUAUAUUGGUGAUAUAGUUAGAUUUUAAACGCUUUAAUCGGUACAAGUAAUUAUUAUUGAUGAGUUAUAUUGAUAUUUGUUUAUAUAUAAAUUUGUGUGUGUGUAUAUAUAUAUAUAUAUACAUAUUUUGAAUAUUGAUAUCUAGUUUCUUAAUAAUAUUGUGCAAAAUAUAGCUAUGAAAAUAUAAUUAUUUAUGUUUCAUUAGUUAUUUACUGGAUUCUAAAUAUAAUGUG